rnacentral:rRNA from 1 species
GAGAGAAGCUUGCUUCUCUUGAGAGCGGCGGACGGGUGAGUAAUGCCUAGGAAUCUGCCUGGUAGUGGGGGAUAACGUUCGGAAACGGACGCUAAUACCGCAUACGUCCUACGGGAGAAAGCAGGGGACCUUCGGGCCUUGCGCUAUCAGAUGAGCCUAGGUCGGAUUAGCUAGUUGGUGGGGUAAUGGCUCACCAAGGCGACGAUCCGUAACUGGUCUGAGAGGAUGAUCAGUCACACUGGAACUGAGACACGGUCCAGACUCCUACGGGAGGCAGCAGUGGGGAAUAUUGGACAAUGGGCGAAAGCCUGAUCCAGCCAUGCCGCGUGUGUGAAGAAGGUCUUCGGAUUGUAAAGCACUUUAAGUUGGGAGGAAGGGUUGUAGAUUAAUACUCUGCAAUUUUGACGUUACCGACAGAAUAAGCACCGGCUAACUCUGUGCCAGCAGCCGCGGUAAUACAGAGGGUGCAAGCGUUAAUCGGAAUUACUGGGCGUAAAGCGCGCGUAGGUGGUUAGUUAAGUUGGAUGUGAAAUCCCCGGGCUCAACCUGGGAACUGCAUUCAAAACUGACUGACUAGAGUAUGGUAGAGGGUGGUGGAAUUUCCUGUGUAGCGGUGAAAUGCGUAGAUAUAGGAAGGAACACCAGUGGCGAAGGCGACCACCUGGACUGAUACUGACACUGAGGUGCGAAAGCGUGGGGGAGCAAACAGGAUUA